rnacentral:rRNA from 1 species
UGGGGAAUAUUGGACAAUGGGCGAAAGCCUGAUCCAGUCAUGCCGCGUGUGUGAUGAAGGCCUUAGGGUUGUAAAGCACUGUCGGGAGGGAAGAAAGCUUCGGCUUGACGGUACCUCGCAAGAAAGCACCGGCUAACUCCGUGCCAGCAGCCGCGGUAAUACGGAGGGUGCAAGCGUUGCUCGGAAUCACUGGGCGUAAAGCGUACGCAGGCGGCCGAUUAAGUUGGAUGUGAAAGCCCUGGGCUCAACCCAGGAAUUGCAUUCAAAACUGGUCGGCUUGAGUGUGAGAGAGGGAAGUGGAAUUCCAGGUGUAGAGGUGAAAUUCGUUGAUAUCUGGAGGAACACCGGCGGCGAAGGCGGCUUCCUGGCUCACAACUGACGCUCAUGUACGAAAGCGUGGGUAGCAAACAGG